rnacentral:rRNA from 1 species
UUACUUGGAUAACUGUGGUAAUUCUAGAGCUAAUACAUGCAAACAGAGCUCCGACCGGAGACGGAAGGAGCGCUUUUAUUAGAUCAAAACCAAUCGGUGGCGGUUCGCCGUCAUCGUAAUACUUGGUGACUCUGAAUAACUUUACGCUGAUCGCACGGUCUAGCACCGGCGACGCAUCUUUCAAAUGUCUGCCUUAUCAACUGUCGAUGGUAGGUUCUGCGCCUACCAUGGUUGUAACGGGUAACGGGGAAUCAGGGUUCGAUUCCGGAGAGGGAGCCUGAGAAACGGCUACCACAUCCAAGGAAGGCAGCAGGCGCGCAAAUUACCCACUCCCGGCACGGGGAGGUAGUGACGAAAAAUAACGAUACGGGACUCAUCCGAGGCCCCGUAAUCGGAAUGAGUACACUCUAAACCCUUUAACGAGGAUCAAUUGGAGGGCAAGUCUGGUGCCAGCAGCCGCGGUAAUUCCAGCUCCAAUAGCGUAUAUUAAAGUUGUUGCGGUUAAAAAGCUCGUAGUCGAAUCUGUGUCCCGCGCCGCCGGUUCAUCGUUCGCGGUGUCAACUGUCGUGCCGCGGGACGUCCUGCCGGUGGGCUUAGCCCGCGAGGCGCCCCAACUCAAUCCCGCCGCGGUGCUCUUCACUGAGUGUCGAGGUGGGCCGGCACGUUUACUUUGAACAAAUUAGAGUGCUUAAAGCAGGCUAAAACUUCGCCUGAAUACGUGUGCAUGGAAUAAUGGAAUAGGACCUCGGUUCUAUUUUGUUGGUUUUCGGAACCCCGAGGUAAUGAUUAAUAGG